CCCAAAGAUUUAAGAGUUAUUCAACUNAGGCCAGCUUAUUUGAAACAGGAUACAACCUAAAAGACAGGGUAAACAUCCCCCCCCCCCCCCAUAAAAAGUAGGCCUAAAAGCAGCCACCUUUAAAAAAGNGUCAAAGCUUAUCAUGAGCCACCAGACUAAAUCCCACCAUUACCCCUGAACCCCUCUACCAUANUGAGUGAUUCCAUAAAUAUAUGGAAUACACCAUGCUGAGACUAGUAACAAGAAUUUAACAUUCUCCUAAAUGCAAGUAUAACCCAGACUGGAUACACCACUGGCGAUUAACGAAGAUGAGCCUACUACAGCAACACCAACAAGAAAACCNUGUAAGACACACCCGUUAACCUAACACCAGAGCAUCUCAGGAAAGAUUAACAGGGGAAGAAGGAACUCGGCAAAUGACAGCCCCGCCUGUUUACCAAAAACAUCGCCUCUUGCCACCUAUAAGAGGUCCAGCCUGCCCAGUGACAAAGUUUAACGGCCGCGGUACCCUAACCGUGCGAAGGUAGCAUAAUCACUUGUUCUUUAAAUGGGGACUCGUAUCAAUGGCACCACGAGGGCUAUACUGUCUCCUUCCCCUAAUCAGUGAACCUGAUCUCCCUGUGAAGAAGCAGGGAUAAAUCUAUAAGACGAGAAGACCCCAUGGAGCUUAAAACCUAAAAGCAACUCUCCCACACAAUCCCGCUAAACCCAAAGAGACCUGCAUAUCGGUUUUAGGUUGGGGCGACCACGGAGUAAAAACCACCCUCCACGACGAAAAGAGCUAAGUCUUUAUUUAAGAGCCACCCCUCUAAAAAUUAGCAUACUAACGAACAAUGAUCCGAUAUCGAUCAACGGACCAAGUUACCCUGGGGAUAACAGCGCAAUCUACUUCAAGAGCCCCUAUCGACAAGUAGGCUUACGACCUCGAUGUUGGAUCAGGGUAUCCCAGUGG
rnacentral:rRNA from 1 species